GCGCGUUUCUGGCCCUGCCGGUGUCUCCGCCGGUUGAAAGCGCGUGUCUGCGUCGGGUUCUGUUGGAGUGCGUUCGGUGCGCCGUGGGUCCGCGCUGCUUCCACCCAACUUCCUGUUAGAGUUUCUCUCCUGUCACAAUGGCAUGAUCUCGGCUCACUGCGACCUCUGCUUCCUGGGUUCAAGGAUUCUCCUGCCUCAGCCUCCCAAGUAGCUGGGAUUACAGUUCCAUAGACCACAGGAAACGCAGGCGAGAGGGCAGCCCGGCGGGAAGGAAGGAAGAGGGUGGUGUUGAGCCAGACAGGAGACAGUAAGAGAAAUGGCCUCUCUCCUCAGCGGCACAAUGGACUUUAGACAUCGCGCCUGUUUUGUACUCUCCAAGCCGGACUUCUCUACUCGCCGUCCUGGCACUGAUGCCCAGAGGCCCCCUGUGCUUGUUGUCGUGGCCUUAGACAGUUCCCUGCCCUUUGUUCCAGCCCCGCCACACAGUCUGCACGGCCUCCACCGCAGCUCUGGUGAGCCUCUUGGCCAGCUCCUGGUGACAGCGUGCACCUCCCUGCUCUGAGAAGGUCUCCCUCUCCUCUCUGCCCACCCUGUACAGAGACAUCUUUCAAGCCCAUCCCAGAGGAGAGUGGCCUCUCUCCUCCACCCCAAGAGGAUGGCCUCUCAUGUGGCUGUCACCCAUCUGACCCCUACCACAGACCUGAGGGCAAGUGGUGCUCAUGGGCCCACAUCUGCCAGCCUGCACCUGGUUGGAGACGCCUCCCUCUCAUUUGUCCGUGCUUGCUGCGUGACUUUGGCAAGUGCUUGCCUCCUUGAGACCCUCAGUUUUCACACCUGAGAAACAGAAAGGCGGUGCCUGCCCCAGCUGCCCUGCAGAAGAGUUUAGGUGGCAUGUGAGAAAAUGCCUUAUGAACUACGAUGUGAGCAACUGCAGCAUGCUGUGAACACCGCUUUCAUGAGCUCCUCGGGGGCAGGGUAACACCCAAGCAUUCUUACACCUCCCACCAGGCUUGUCACGACCGUAUACAAAUGAAGGCCAUCAAGCGUGUUUGGUCAGUGAUGUAUUUCUUUAUUUUUAGUUUUAGGAUAUGACAACUCUAUUUUUAGCAGCUAUAGCGGCCAAAACUUUGUUACCACUCAGCAGUUGUGUGUUCUUCAAGAGUAGGUUUUGUGCUUUAAAAAUAUCUGAAUCCUCUACCAUUUACAGGUGUUCUGUGCAUACUUGGUGUAUGAGUUGCUCAGGAAGGAAGAAAAAUGUGCCCUUUUUAUCUUUUAAAAAGAUGGCUUGUCUUGGUGCUCCCUUGCCUGCAUUCCUUCUCUGUAUUUAGAAACGAACCCACACAAGUGAAGGCAAAGGAAGCCUCUUGAAAGAUAAGGCAGGAAAAAUGAGGAUAGAAAACAAAACCCUUCUAGAGAGUUUACGUGGAGGCUACCACGGGCAUCGCUGCUCUGCAGUCUGUCAACCAGAGGCCCCUGGUGCUGCAGCACGGCCUUGGCAGCUUCACCAACAGGAAUGUGUUCUCCUAGGGUACUGGAGGGUGGCAGUCCCAGAGCAAGGUGUGGCAGGGCUGCUCCUCCUGAGGCCUCUCCCUGGCUUGCAGACGACAUCUUCUCCCAUGUUCUCAUGUGGUCCUCCCUCUGCACACGCAUAUCUGACAUCCUCCCAUGUCCUGACACGUUCCUCUCUCUGCACUCGAAUGCCGGACAUCCUCCUAUGUCCUCACAUGGUCCUCCCCCUGCACUCACAUCCCUGACAUCCUCCCGAGCCCUCACGUGGUCCUCCCUCUGCACUCACAUCCCUGACGCCCUCCCGUGCCCUCACGUGGUCCUCCCUCUGCACUCACAUCCCUGACGUCCUCCCGAGCCCUCACAUGGUCCUCCCUCUGCACUCACAUCCCUGACGUCCUCCCGAGCCCUCACAUGGUCCUCCCUCUGCACUCACAUCCCUGACGUCCUCCCGUGCCCUCACGUGGUCCUCCCUCUGCACUCACAUCUCUGACGCCCUCCCGUGCCCUCACGUGAUCCUCCCUCUGCACUCACAUCUCUGACGUCCUCCCGUGCCCUCACAUGGUCCUCCCCCUGCACUCACAUCCCUGACGUCCUCCCGUGCCCUCACGUGGUCCUCCCCCUGCACUCACAUCCCUGACGUCCUCCCGAGCCCUCACGUGGUCCUCCCCCUGCACUCACAUCCCUGACGUCCUCCCGUGCCCUCACGUGGUCCUCCCUCUGCACUCACAUCUCUGACAUCCUCCCGAGCCCUCACGUGGUCCUCCCCCUACACUCACAUCCCUGACGUCCUCCCGAGCCCUCACGUGGUCCUCCCCCUGCACUCACAUCCCUGACGUCCUCCCGAGCCCUCACGUGGUCCUCCCUCUGCACUCACAUCCCUGACAUCCUCCCAUGCCCUCACGUGGUCCUCCCCCUGCACUCACAUCCCUGACGUCCUCCCGUGCCCUCACGUGGUCCUCUCUCUGCACUCACAUCCCUGACGUCCUCCCGUGUCCUCACGUGGUCCUCCCUCUGCACUCACAUCCCUGAUGUCCUCCCGAGCCCUCACGUGGUCCUCCCUCUGCACUCACAUCCCUGACGUCCUCCCGUGCCCUCACAUGGUCCUCCCUCUGCACUCACAUCCCUGAUGCCCUCCCGUGCCCUCACGUGGUCCUCCCUCUGCACUCACAUCUCUGACGCCCUCCCGUGCCCUCACGUGAUCCUCCCUCUGCACUCACAUCUCUGACGUCCUCCCGUGCCCUCACAUGGUCCUCCCCCUGCACUCACAUCCCUGACGUCCUCCCGUGCCCUCACGUGGUCCUCCCCCUGCACUCACAUCCCUGACAUCCUCCCGUGCCCUCACGUGGUCCUCCCCCUGCACUCACAUCCCUGACGUCCUCCCGAGCCCUCACGUGGUCCUCCCCCUGCACUCACAUCCCUGACGUCCUCCCGAGCCCUCACGUGGUCCUCCCCCUGCACUCACAUCCCUGACGUCCUCCCGUGCCCUCACGUGGUCCUCCCCCUGCACUCACAUCCCUGACGUCCUCCCGAGCCCUCACGUGGUCCUCCCCCUGCACUCACAUCCCUGACGUCCUCCCGUGCCCUCACGUGGUCCUCCCCCUGCACUCACAUCUCUGACAUCCUCCCGAGCCCUCACAUGGUCCUCCCCCUGCACUCACAUCCCUGACAUCCUCCCGUGCCCUCACGUGGUCCUCCCUCUGCACUCACAUCUCUGACAUCCUCCCGAGCCCUCACAUGGUCCUCCCCCUACACUCACAUCCCUGACGUCCUCCCGAGCCCUCACGUGGUCCUCCCUCUGCACUCACAUCCCUGACAUCCUCCCAUGCCCUCACGUGGUCCUCCCUCUGCACUCACAUCCCUGACGUCCUCCCGUGCCCUCACGUGGUCCUCCCUCUGCACUCACAUCCCUGACGUCCUCCCGUGCCCUCACUUGGUCCUCUCUCUGCACUCACAUCCCUGAUGUCCUCCCGAGCCCUCACGUGGUCCUCCCUCUGCACUCACAUCCCUGACGUCCUCCCGUGCCCUCACGUGGUCCUCCCUCUGCACUCACAUCCCUGAUGCCCUCCCGUGCCCUCACGUGGUCCUCCCUCUGCACUCACAUCCCUGACGCCCUCCCGUGCCCUCACGUGAUCCGCACUCACAUCCCUGACAUCCUCCUAUGCCCUCACAUGGUCCUCCCUCUACACUCACAUCCCUGACAUCCUCCCGAGCCCUCACAUGGUCCUCCCUCUGCACUCACAUCCCUGACAUCCUCCUAUGUCCUCACGUGGUCCUCCCCCUGCACUCACAUCCCUGAUGUCCUCCCGAGCCUUCACGUGGUCCUCCCCCUGCACUCACAUCCCUGACGUCCUCCCGUGUCCUCACAUGGUCCUCCCCCUGCACUCACAUCCCUGACGUCCUCCCGAGUCCUCACGUGGUCCUCCCUCUACACUCACAUCCCUGAUGUCCUCCCGUGUCCUCACAUGGUCCUCCCCCUGCACUCACAUCCCUGACGUCCUCCCGAGUCCUCACGUGGUCCUCCCUCUACACUCACAUCCCUGACGUCCUCCCGUGUCCUCACAUGGUCCUCCCCCUGCACUCACAUCCCUGGCGUCCUCCCGAGUCCUCACGUGGUCCUCCCUCUACACUCACAUCCCUGAUAUCCUCCCGAGCCCUCACGUGGUCCUCCCCCUGCACUCACAUCCCUGACGUCCUCCCGUGCCCUCACAUGGUCCUCCCUCUGCACUCACAUCCCUGACAUCCUCCCGAGCCCUCACGUGGUCCUCCCUCUACACUCACAUCCCUGAUGUCCUCCCGUGCUCUCACGUAGUCCUCCCUCUACACUCACAUCCCUGACGUCCUCCUGAGCCCUCACGUGGUCCUCUCUCUGCACUCACAUCCCUGAUGUCCUCCCGAGCCCUCACGUGGUCCUCCCCCUGCACUUGUAUCCCUGAUGUCCUCCCAUGCUCUCACGUGGUCCUCCCUCUACACUCACAUCCCUGACGUCCUCCCGUGCUCUCACAUGGUCUUCCCUCUACACGCGCAUCCCUGAUGUCCUCCCGUGCCCUCACAUAGUCCUCCCUCUGCACACGCAUCCCUGACAUCCCUUCGCCUUCUCCUGGGGACAUCACUCCCAUUGGAUCAGGACCCUGCCUUGUGGUCUCACCUAACCUUCAUCACCUGUUUGAAGACCCCACUUCCAAAGACAGCCACAUUAAGGGUUAGGGCUUCAACGUAGGACUUUGGCAGGACACAAUUCAGCUGAUUGCAGAGUCCAAAUAUCUCAGGCUUCUAAACGUGAGUAUGGCAUUGUGGACCUCUAUCAGCACAGACACUUUCGAGAGAAUCUGGCUGAACUGUGGUGUCCACAUGUCGAUAUUCUAUUAGGUUCACAACAGGGAGUCCUCCAUUUCAGAAGGAUACGAGCCUUUCUGAUGUUGACGUGUGGCUGGCUAUCUGCUCUGGGGUUGGCAAGGCCGCUCUGCAUGGGUGCCCAUCCUCUUGUGGAUGUCCUAGGAGUGCUUGUGUGCACCUUUGUGUGUGUGUGCACGUGUGCGUGUGCACACAUGAGUGGGAUGGGGACCCUGGGGACAAGAGUCAGGAAAGGAAGAGGGAAGAAGGAGGGAUUAGUAUUAGCCCUCGUUAUCAUUACCAUGGAUACACCCUAAUUACAGCAACUUCUGAUUCAGAGCCGUGCACCUUGAAUGCCAAUCUCUAGAGGAAAAUAAUGGAGACUCCGAAAGAGGGAGGAGAAAUGAGGACAGAACUUCAGAGGGGACAAGAUGUAUAAUACGCAGAUGUUAACGCCCAUUUGGUCGAUUCAUGUAAUUAUAGAAAUGAACUCAUUUUCAUUCUUGUGUCAUUAUCUUAGGUAUCCUGAAAACAAUGUGCUUUCAUUUUCUCAUUUAAAUUUGCACUUGUCUUUCUCAGGUUUUUGUGUCUGUUUCUGCUGUAAAACUUAAAAUAUAUCCUAAAUUACCUGGUCCUCCUCUUA